ensembl:lncRNA
UGUAAACAAAGUGGCAUAGUUAAAGUGGCUAGUGAUACAUGUAUUACAUAAGGAUGCAGUCGAUGAUAUAGAGUACAGUAUAUACGUAUGCAUAUGAGAUGAAUAAUGUAGGGUAAGUAACAUUAUAUAAGGUAGCAUUGUUUAAAGUGGCUAGUGAUGUAUUUACAUCAUUUCCCAUCAAUUCCCAUUAUUAAAGUGGCUGGAGUUGAGUCAGUGUCAGUGUGUUGGCAGCAGCCACUCAAUGUUAGUGGUGGCUGUUUAACAGUCUGAUGGCCUUGAGAUAGAAGCUGUUUUCAGUCUCUCAUCCUAGGACUAUGCAAUGUCCUUUCAUUUUAAUUAUAUUAUUAGGGCAUACAGGACUACAUUUAAGGCUCAGGCGUAGCUGUAAAAUAGGCUGCUGGUAUGUUCAGCACAAAUAGUUGCUCUAACAUAAUUACCACCAUGUUGGGCUGCAAUCAAUAACCCAAAGGCACAUCAUUUAAGCAAAUAAAGGUAAACAUUGGCCGAAAUGCCAACAAGACAUAUCAGUCUCAACUUAAGUUUAGCCCUCCAUGUUCUAAUGGUUAGGACCUUACAGGUGCAUGUGAGAGCUCAACAGACCUGAUCUCACCAUCAACCUAACCUCUCACUCCCUCUGGAGGUAGAGAGAGAACAUUACAACUCAAUAUACAGCUGCGUAGUUGCCAACCUUGUUAGUAACCAGACCAUCACAGUCAACAUCACUACACCCUGUGAAGAUGGAGGCCCGAAGAUGAGCAAGGUAAUAUAAAUCAUUAUCCUUUAUUGCCAUCAGCUCUGAGCUCAAUACACUAUUGUAUAAAUCUCUCUUGAGACGAGGGCUUAGUGGACCUUUUGUAUUGUGAUGAACCUGAGCUUAGAUUGGUCAAGAGCACCAUCUAUUGGAGAAAAUUUAGAAUUUCACUGUGAACUUAUACAAUUAUAUACUUGAACUUGUGGACCCCAGGAAGAAUAUCUGCUGCUUCUUCAACUGUUUGGGGUUUGCAUUACCUUGUAUGCUUCUGUGUUGUAUUAUGUGAGGUACACUAAUAAGUAUGUAAUGCAUUGUAUUUGUUUUUCAUCCACACAACACCACACAACAAAGAUGAGAGGCAUGGAAGAAAGUACUAUACUCUUAUCCCAGCAGCCUUUGUGGUGUACCCAGGAAUCUUUGCAGUGUUCUUCAAAGGACAAAAUGCAAUUUUAAAACUGUCCUGCAACUCCUACCGUGUCUAUAGACUUGAAUGCACAAGAGGAGGCUGGUGGAAGGAGCUGUAGGAGGAGGGGCCCAUGAAAUGGAAUGGUACCAAACACAUCAAGCACAUGGAAACAACGUCUUUGACUCCUUUCCAGUAAUUCCGUUCCAGCCUUUACAAUGAGCCAGUCCUCCUAUAGCUCCUCCCAAAACCUCUGGAGUGCACAACUGGUAAAUAGUCACUCAUAGAUAUUUCAGUCAGUCAGGUGGCUAGCUCCUGCCAGAUACUUGUAUUGCAGUAAUGUUGAAGGGCUCUGGCUAGUAUUAAGUAAGUAAGUAAGAAGUAUUAAGUAAGUAAGUAAGGAAGAAAGAAGCUAACAUUAAACAGAGCCUACCUCAGCAGGAGCAAAAAAAUACCCUACUAAGUUCUAAUAACUUUACUUUACAGAGAGUAGAAUACUGAGACAAACAUUGAAGUAGCUCUCAGUGGUGAGGCUGAGGCAGGCUGCGAUGCAUGCAGGAGGAAGCAGAGGACACAGAGAGAGAGAGAGAGGAAGAUGCCGGUGGGCAGAGUUGAGAGGGUCGUCAGCUACUUGGGAAACACCUGGGCCAGGUGUCUCCCAGGAUAAAUGGACCUCUUCCACAUUCAUGGAGGAGACUCUCUCCAUGCAGACACCUUUGUAGAUUGUGUUGUGGUUCUUGGUGGCCUUUUGUUUGUUUGCUUUGGCACCUUUCAACACCCUGCAUUAUCACAUUCAUGCAUGCAAAACACUCACUUACACCACUGAUUACUGAUUACACACACCAUUGUAUAUUUUCCUUAGUUGCUUUAGUUAAUAAAUAUAUAUUUUGUUACUCCUUAUCUCCACGUUGUCUCCCUUUGAUACGGGCUUUGAGCCGGUUCGUGACACCAAGUACAAGGACGUUU